rnacentral:rRNA from 1 species
UGGGGAAUUUUGCACAAUGGGGGAAACCCUGAUGCAGCGACGCCGCGUGAUUUAGAAGGCCUUCGGGUUGUAAAAAUCUUUUCUAUGGGAAGAAAAUGACAGUACCAUAGGAAUAAGGACCGGCUAAUUACGUGCCAGCAGCCGCGGUAAUACGUAAGGUCCGAGCGUUGUCCGGAAUCAUUGGGCGUAAAGGGUACGUAGGCGGGUAAGCAAGUUAGAAGUGAAAUCCUAUAGCUCAACUAUAGUAACCUUUUAAAACUGCUCAUCUUGAGGUAUGGAAGGGAAAGUGGAAUUCCUAGUGUAGCGGUGAAAUGCGCAGAUAUUAGGAGGAAUCCCGGUGGCGAAGGCGACUUUCUGGCCAUAACCUGACGCUGAGGUACGAAAGCGUGGGUAGCAAACAGG